rnacentral:rRNA from 1 species
GAUGAACGCUGGCGGCGUGCUUAACACAUGCAAGUCGAACGAAGUGGCGAACGGGUGAGUAACGCGUAAUCAACCUGCCCUUCAGGGGGGAACAACAUGUGGAAAUGACUACUAAUACCGCAUAUCGGCGGAGUGGUUUGGGUUGGAUUAGCUAGUUGGAAGGGUAACGGCCCACCCAGGCGAGGAUCAGUAGCCGGUCUGAGGGGAUGAACGGCCACAUUGGGACGGAGAAACGGCCCAGACUCCUACGGGAGGAAGCAGUGGGGAAUCUUCCGCAAUGGACGAAAGUCUGACGGAGCAAAGCCGCGUGAGUGAUGACGGCCUUCGGGUUGUAAAGCUCUGUUAAUCGGGACGCGGUACCGGAAUAGAAAGCCACGGCUAACUCCGUGCCAGCAGCCGCGGUAAUAC